GGGAAGGUGGCUCAGUGGUAGAGUGCUUGCCUUGCAUGCAUGAGGCCCUGGGUUUGAUUCCUCACCAUCUAA
rnacentral:tRNA from 1 species